rnacentral:rRNA from 1 species
CGCUAGCUACAGGCUUAACACAUGCAAGUCGAGGGGCAGCAUGAAAGGAACUUCGGUUCUUUUUGAUGGCGACCGGCGCACGGGUGCGUAACGCGUAUCGAACCUGCCUCAUACUCGGGGAUAGCCUUGUGAAAGUAAGAUUAAUACCCGGCGGUCUCGGAUGGCCGCAUGACUAUCCGAGUGAAGAUUUAUCGGUAUGAGAUGGCGAUGCGUCCCAUUAGCUAGUUGGUGAGGUAACGGCUCACCAAGGCAUCGAUGGGUAGGGGUUCUGAGAGGAAGGUCCCCCACAUUGGAACUGAGACACGGUCCAAACUCCUACGGGAGGCAGCAGUGAGGAAUAUUGGUCAAUGGGCGAGAGCCUGAACCAGCCAAGUAGCGUGAAGGAUGAAGGCUCUAUGGGUCGUAAACUUCUUUUAUAUGGGAAUAAAGUUUUCCACGUGUGGAAUUUUGUAUGUACCAUAUGAAUAAGGAUCGGCUAACUCCGUGCCAGCAGCCGCGGUAAUACGGAGGAUCCGAGCGUUAUCCGGAUUUAUUGGGUUUAAAGGGAGCGUAGGUGGAUUGUUAAGUCAGUUGUGAAAGUUUGCGGCUCAACCGUAAAAUUGCAGUUGAAACUGGCAGUCUUGAGUACAGUAGAGGUGGGCGGAAUUCGUGGUGUAGCGGUGAAAUGCUUAGAUAUCACGAAGAACUCCGAUUGCGAAGGCAGCUCACUAGACUGUUACUGACACUGAUGCUCGAAAGUGUGGGUAUCAAACAGG